GAGUCAAAAAAAAGUUCUCCUAUAAUUAUACAGCAUCUAAGAUACUUGCAAAUUGUUAAAAUUUCAACAAAUUUGUCAUUGACAUUUCAGAUAAUUCUUGUAUCAUACGUUUUACUUAUACGUUAUAGAAAACGAGUAUAUAAAUUGAAUUGUUUUAAAUUGUCACCUAUUACAUAUUUCUUCCUAUAUUGUUUGUAUAAACAGUAUAAUGUCAAGUCUGGAGUAACAUGUGUACACAUCAUUGCAUUGUAAUAAAAGGCAUUGAACAAUCGAGAUAGAAAUUACAGGAGAUAAGAAAACUAAUUAGUUAUUUCGUUUUGAGGAUUGUUACUUAUUCUCCAGAUUUUUAGAUAAAUGAUGAACUGGUGUACUGUUUCAGGAUUUUAUGAACGUCUUACCAGGGUCAAUUAUUUUUAUAAACCUUAUUGACAUUAUUCGUUCAAUGGAACUACUUAACAGAUAGUGCUGUGAAUUGUAUUUAAAGAAAUUGAUAAUAUUCAAUAAAAUAAUUGCAUCAAA